AGGCUGCAGUAAGGAAUAUUGGUCAAUGGGGGCAACCCUGAACCAGCCAUGCCGCGUGCAGGAAGACGGCCCUACGGGUUGUAAACUGCUUUUGUGCCGGAAUAAACCCCUUUACGUGUAAAGGGCUGAACGUACGGUAAGAAUAAGGAUCGGCUAACUCCGUGCCAGCAGCCGCGGUAAUACGGAGGAUCCGAGCGUUAUCCGGAUUUAUUGGGUUUAAAGGGUGCGUAGGCGGCUUUUUAAGUCAGGGGUGAAAUCUUUCGGCUCAACCGGAAGCUUGCCUUUGAUACUGAGGAGCUUGAAUGGACUUGAGGUAGGCGGAAUGUGACAAGUAGCGGUGAAAUGCAUAGAUAUGUCACAGAACACCGAUUGCGAAGGCAGCUUACCAAGGUCUUAUUGACGCUGAGGCACGAAAGCGUGGGGAUCAAACAGGAUUAGAUACCCUGGUAGUCCACGCCCUAAACGAUGAACACUCGAUGUUGGCGAUAUACAGUCAGCGUCUAAGCGAAAGCGUUAAGUGUUCCACCUGGGGAGUACGCCCGCAAGGGUGAAACUCAAAGGAAUUGACGGGGGCCCGCACAAGCGGAGGAGCAUGUGGUUUAAUUCGAUGAUACGCGAGGAACCUUACCCGGGCUUGAA
rnacentral:rRNA from 1 species